CAAUAGCGUAUAUUAAAGUUGUUGCGGUUAAAAAGCUCGUAGUUGGAUUUCUGCUGAGAACGACCGGUCCGCCCUCUGGGUGUGUAUCUGGCUCUUUCUUGGCAUCUUCUUGGUGAACGUUGCUGCACUUGACUGUGUGGAGCGCUACCCAGGACUUUUACUUUGAGGAAAUUAGAGUGUUUCAAGCAGGCAUACGCCUUGAAUACAUUAGCAUGGAAUAAUAAGAUAGGACCUCGGUUCUAUUUUGUUGGUUUCUAGAGCUGAGGUAAUGAUUAAUAGGGAUAGUUGGGGGCAUUCGUAUUUAACUGUCAGAGGUGAAAUUCUUGGAUUUGUUAAAGACGGACUAUUGCGAAAGCAUUUGCCAAGGAUGUUUNCAUUG
rnacentral:rRNA from 1 species